rnacentral:rRNA from 1 species
GGGUUGUGAGGUUAAGCGACUAAGCGUACACGGUGGAUGCCCUGGCAGUCAGAGGCGAUGAAGGACGUGCUAAUCUGCGAUAAGCGCCGGUAAGGUGAUAUGAACCGUUAUAACCGACGAUUUCCGAAUGGGGAAACCCAGUGUGACUUGUCACACUAUCAUUAACUGAAUCCAUAGGUUAAUGAGGCGAACCGGGGGAACUGAAACAUCUAAGUACCCCGAGGAAAAGAAAUCAACCGAGAUUCCCCCAGUAGCGGCGAGCGAACGGGGAGGAGCCCAGAGCCUGAAUCAGCAUGUGUGUUAGUGGAAGCGUCUGGAAAGGCGCGCGAUACAGGGUGACAGCCCCGUACACAAAAGCGCAUGUGCUGUGAGCUCGAUGAGUAGGGCGGGACACGUGGUAUCCUGUCUGAAUAUGGGGGGACCAUCCUCCAAGGCUAAAUACUCCUGACUGACCGAUAGUGAACCAGUACCGUGAGGGAAAGGCGAAAAGAACCCCGGCGAGGGGAGUGAAAAAGAACCUGAAACCGUGUACGUACAAGCAGUGGGAGC